CACGCCGUAAACGAUGAAUACUAGGUGUAGGGGUUGUCAUGACCUCUGUGCCGCCGCUAACGCAUUAAGUAUUCCGCCUGGGGAGUACGGUCGCAAGAUUAAAACUCAAAGGAAUUGACGGGGGCCCGCACAAGCAGCGGAGCAUGUGGUUUAAUUCGAAGCAACGCGAAGAACCUUACCUAGACUUGACAUCUCCUGCAUUACUCUUAAUCGAGGAAGUCCCUUCGGGGACAGGAUGACAGGUGG
rnacentral:rRNA from 1 species